rnacentral:rRNA from 1 species
CCUACGGGAGGCAGCAGUGGGGAAUAUUGGACAAUGGGGGCAACCCUGAUCCAGCAAUGCCGCGUGUGUGAUGAAGGCCUUAGGGUUGUAAAGCACUUUCAAUGGUGAAGAUGAUGACGGUAACCAUAGAAGAAGCCCCGGCUAACUUCGUGCCAGCAGCCGCGGUAAUA